GCAGUAGCCGCGGGAAUACGUAGGGUGCAAGCGUUAAUCGGAAUUACUGGGCGUAAAGCGUGCGCAGGCGGUUAUAUAAGACAGAUGUGAAAUCCCCGGGCUCAACCUGGGAACUGCAUUUGUGACUGUAUAGCUAGAGUACGGCAGAGGGGGAUGGAAUUCCGCGUGUAGCAGUGAAAUGCGUAGAUAUGCGGAGGAACACCGAUGGCGAAGGCAAUCCCCUGGGCCUGUACUGACGCUCAUGCACGAAAGCGUGGGGAGCAAACAGGAUUAGAUACCCGGGUAGUCCCUGUCUCUUAUAC
rnacentral:rRNA from 1 species